rnacentral:rRNA from 1 species
AUUGAACGCUGGCUGCAUGCCUAACACAUUCAAGUCGAGCUGAGCGGCGGACGGGUGAGUAAUGCCUAGGAAUCUGCCUGGUAGUGGGGGAUGACGUCCAGCAACGGUCGCUAAUACCGCAUCCUAUCAGAUGAGCCUAGGUCGGAUUAGCUAGUUGGUGGGGUAAAGGCCUACCAAGGCGACGAUCCGUAACUGGUCUGAGAGGAUGAUCAGUCACACUGGAACUGAGAAACGGUCCAGACUCAUACGGGAGGCAGCAGUGGGGAAUAUUGGACAAUGGGCGAAAGCCUGAUCCAGCCAUGCCGCGUGGGUGAAGAAGGUCUUGGGAUAGUAAAGCACUUUAAGUUGGGAGGCGUUACCAAGAGAAUAAGCACAGGAUAAAUUCGUGCCAGCCGCCGCGGUAAUUC